GGAGGAGGAGGAGGAGCUUUCUCCCAUCUCACUGUGCAGCACACCAGGAAAAAAGCAGCAUGUCAGAGCGACCACGAAGGGGAAAUGCCUUCAGAUCUUUUGAUUCAUGACCACUUAGAAAGGCAGCAAAUUUGGAGCAGAUUUUGCUGAAGGGAUUUACUGAGCCAUAGAGAGAGAGCCAGCCUAGUGUUUUACUAAAUGGCUGUCCGUGUUCUGGCAGCAGGGCUGCUGGGGAGGGUUGUGGCAACAGUUCAGUACAAAUAAGAACAGAAACCAAUCCCAGCAUCUGCACCACAUGACAGAUGUUGAAAUGUGAUGGUUUAGUUUUUCUGAAGGCUUACAACUACGAGGGAAAGAAAUAUAGAAGCAUUAGUCCUUUAUAGAAC